rnacentral:piRNA from 1 species
CAAAAUACAAUAAGUGCUUAGCUUGAUC